CGGCUCGCGGCCUGUAGCUGACGGUGCUGGAGCCGCGAGUCACCGUGGUGGCUGGCCAUGGAGACUUGGAAAAGGCCGGUGAGGUGCGUCUCCAGCUGCGCUGUCAGACGAUCCAGUGGAACGAGCAGCAGCCCAUGUACCUGUCCCGGCUGUGCCGGUGUGUCUCCCAGCUUGAGCGGCGCCGGCCGACCGCUGCGCUGCUCUACAACUGCCACGUCCACACACGAUGCACGGUGACGGCUGACCAGGCGGUGCUGGUCUCGGCCGCGGCCGACGGCCAGCCCGCCCAG